AGCGAACGCUGGCGGCAGGCCUAACACAUGCAAGUCGAACGAACUCUUCGGAGUUAGUGGCGGACGGGUGAGUAACACGUGGGAACGUGCCUUUUGGUUCGGAAUAACUCAGGGAAACUUGUGCUAAUACCGAAUGUGCCCUUCGGGGGAAAGAUUUAUCGCCAUUAGAGCGGCCCGCGUCUGUUUAGCUAGUUGGUGAGGUAACGGCUCACCAAGGCGACGAUCAGUAGCUGGUCUGAGAGGAUGACCAGCCACACUGGGACUGAGACACGGCCCAGACUCCUACGGGAGGCAGCAGUGGGGAAUCUUACGCAAUGAGCGAAAGCCUGACGAAGCCAUGCGGCGUGAAUGAUGAAGGUCUUAGGAUUGUAAAAUUCUUUCACCGGGGACGAUAAUGACGGUACCCGGAGAAGAAGCACCGGCUAACUUCGUG
rnacentral:rRNA from 1 species